AACGAACGCUGGCGGCGUGCUUAACACAUGCAAGUCGAACGCGAAAGGGACUUCGGUCCUGAGUAAAGUGGCGCACGGGUGAGUAACGCGUAGAUAACCUGUCUCCAUGUCUGGAAUAAUACGCCAAAGGGGUACUAAUACCGGAUAUUCUUGCUUUUCAUAAGUUAUGCAAGCAAAGGUGGCCUCUGCAUAUGCUACUGCAUGAAGAGGGGUCUGCGUACCAUUAGCUAGUAGGUGGGGUAAUGGCCUACCUAGGCGACGAUGGUUAGCGGGUCUGAGAGGAUGAUCCGCCACACUGGCACUGGAACACGGGCCAGACUCCUACGGGAGGCAGCAGUGAGGAAUAUUGCGCAGUGGGGGAAACCCUGACGCAGCGACGCCGCGUGAGUGAAGGAAGGCCUUCGGGUCGUAAAGCUCUGUCAAGAGGAAAGAAGUGUACAAUGGCUAAUACCUGUUGUAUUUGACGGUACCUCUAAAGGAAGCACCGGCUAACUCCGUGCCAGCCGCAGC
rnacentral:rRNA from 1 species